UACGGGGGGGGGCAAGCGUUUGUUCGGAAUUACUGGGCGUAAAGGGCUCGUAGGCGGCCAACUAAGUCAGACGUGAAAUCCCUCGGCUUAACCGGGGAACUGCGUCUGAUACUGGAUGGCUUGAGUUUGGGAGAGGGAUGCGGAAUUCCAGGUGUAGCGGUGAAAUGCGUAGAUAUCUGGAGGAACACCGGUGGCGAAGGCGGCUAUCUGGCGGUGCACUGACGCUGAGGCGCGAAAGCGUGGGGAGCAAACAGG
rnacentral:rRNA from 1 species